GUCCUGUUCUGCUUCAGUUCUGCGGUGUCCCUCAAAUGGGGACAUCAGGGAGCUAUCACCUGACAGUGAGUGCGCAUCAUUAGAUGCGUUCUCAUUGUGCUGCGGGCACUAGGACUAUGCAGCGUUUCAGUAGCGUCAUUGCAUUGUAAUAUGGGCCUAUCAGCCUGCCAUUUUUCAGGCUGGCCUGCCCAUUAUUAGUGUCACUUGUGACAUGGGUCACGUCAGUGAUGACCCUUGACGGCCCUUCCCAUAACAUCUCAAUUCUUCCCUUCCGAUUGUUGGCGACCAAUGUGCCUGUCCUUGCUGCCCUACACAAUGCAGCCUUGCUUUUAAUUGCUUUGUUUCCCAGAGAACCCACUGUGCCAAGCAAGUAUGCCAUGACAUUAAAUGCAUAGCCACGUAGUCAUUCUCAAUGUCUGCACGGUGCAGCCUUGUCAUGUGCCCAGCAAGUGUGCCCUAGC